AAAUUGAAGAGUUUGAUCAUGGCUCAGAUUGAACGCUGGCGGCAGGCCUAACACAUGCAAGUCGAACGGUAACAGGAAGCAGCUUGCUGCUUCGCUGACGAGUGGCGGACGGGUGAGUAAUGUCUGGGAAACUGCCUGAUGGAGGGGGAUAACUACUGGAAACGGUGGCUAAUACCGCAUAACGUCGCAAGACCAAAGAGGGGGACCUUCGGGCCUCUUGCCAUCAGAUGUGCCCAGAUGGGAUUAGCUAGUUGGUGAGGUAACGGCUCACCAAGGCGACGAUCCCUAGCUGGUCUGAGAGGAUGACCAGCCACACUGGAACUGAGACACGGUCCAGACUCCUACGGGAGGCAGCAGUGGGGAAUAUUGCACAAUGGGCGCAAGCCUGAUGCAGCCAUGCCGCGUGUAUGAAGAAGGCCUUCGGGUUGUAAAGUACUUUCAGCGGGGAGGAAGGUGUUGUGGUUAAUAACCGCAGCAAUUGACGUUACCCGCAGAAGAAGCACCGGCUAACUCCGUGCCAGCAGCCGCGGUAAUACGGAGGGUGCAAGCGUUAAUCGGAAUUACUGGGCGUAAAGCGCACGCAGGCGGUCUGUCAAGUCGGAUGUGAAAUCCCCGGGCUCAACCUGGGAACUGCAUUCGAAACUGGCAGGCUUGAGUCUUGUAGAGGGGGGUAGAAUUCCAGGUGUAGCGGUGAAAUGCGUAGAGAUCUGGAGGAAUACCGGUGGCGAAGGCGGCCCCCGACAAAGACUGACGCUCAGGUGCGAAAGCGUGGGGAGCAAACAGGAUUAGAUACCCGGUAGUCCACGCCGUAAACGAUGUCUACUUGGAGGUUGUGCCCUUGAGGCGUGGCUUCCGGAGCUAACGCGUUAAGUAGACCGCCUGGGGAGUACGGCCGCAAGGUUAAAACUCAAAUGAAUUGACGGGGGCCCGCACAAGCGGUGGAGCAUGUGGUUUAAUUCGAUGCAACGCGAAGAACCUUACCUGGUCUUGACAUCCACAGAACUUUCCAGAGAUGGAUUGGUGCCUUCGGGAACUGUGAGACAGGUGCUGCAUGGCUGUCGUCAGCUCGUGUUGUGAAAUGUUGGGUUAAGUCCCGCAACGAGCGCAACCCUUAUCCUUUGUUGCCAGCGAUUAGGUCGGGAACUCAAAGGAGACUGCCAGUGAUAAACUGGAGGAAGGUGGGGAUGACGUCAAGUCAUCAUGGCCCUUACGACCAGGGCUACACACGUGCUACAAUGGCGCAUACAAAGAGAAGCGACCUCGCGAGAGCAAGCGGACCUCAUAAAGUGCGUCGUAGUCCGGAUUGGAGUCUGCAACUCGACUCCAUGAAGUCGGAAUCGCUAGUAAUCGUGGAUCAGAAUGCCACGGUGAAUACGUUCCCGGGCCUUGUACACACCGCCCGUCACACCAUGGGAGUGGGUUGCAAAAGAAGUAGGUAGCUUAACCUUCGGGAGGGCGCUUACCACUUUGUGAUUCAUGACUGGGGUGAAGUCGUAACAAGGUAACCGUAGGGGAACCUGCGGUUGGAUCACCUCCUUACCUUAAAGAA
rnacentral:rRNA from 1 species